UACGGGGGGGGCAAGCGUUGUUCGGAAUUACUGGGCGUAAAGGGCUUGUAGGUGGCCAACUAAGUCAGACGUGAAAUCCCUCGGCUUAACCGGGGAACUGCGUCUGAUACUGGAUGGCUAGAGUGUGGGAGAGGGAUGCGGAAUUCCAGGUGUAGCGGUGAAAUGCGUAGAUAUCUGGAGGCACACCGGUGGCGAAGGCGGCAUCCUGGACUACUACUGACGCUGAGGAGCGAAAGCCAGGGGAGCAAACGGG
rnacentral:rRNA from 1 species